CUUUAUUCUAUAUUCCCCAGAGUGAAGUGCUGUGAUUGGUUUGCAGUCUACUAAGAUCAGCCCUUUUAUAUCUACAUGAAAGUGAAUCUGUGUAAGAGAAAACAUUAUCUGCUGCAUGCUUCUUCUAGGGUUCUGUCCAGCGUAUCUCUGCAGUGCCAAAUGACCCAGGAGUCCUGGCAAAGACAGUCUUCAGGCUUUGGCAAUGGAGGGUUGGCCUACGUUUUCUCAACUGCCCAAAUAUUUUGACUUUCAAUCUCAGCAGGCAUCUCCUUCUCUUCCAUAGCAACAGUACAUUUGGGGGAUUAUUGUGUUUUUUUUCCCUUCUACCUCCUGUGGGAGAAUAACACUAAUUCUAAGCUGGGAUAAAUGGCUAGAAUUCAGUAUGGCUCUGUUAGACUCUAUUUCUAGAGUAGAGUUAGACACAAUACUCAAAGACAGGCCUUCUUUUGGAGUCCUAGGGAAAAACAUAACCAAAUUAAAUAAAAUGUCAAUUUCUGGCUUGUAUUUUCUUUUCCAGUUGUGAUGUAUGUUAAAAUGAUAUUUUCCCUUUAAGAAAUGAAC
rnacentral:lncRNA from 1 species